UCGAACGGNAGCACGGGUGCUUGCACCUGGUGGCGAGUGGCGAACGGGUGAGUAAUACAUCGGAACAUGUCCUGUAGUGGGGGAUAGCCCGGCGAAAGCCGGAUUAAUACCGCAUACGAUCCACGGAUGAAAGCGGGGGACCUUCGGGCCUCGCGCUAUAGGGUUGGCCGAUGGCUGAUUAGCUAGUUGGUGGGGUAAAGGCCCACCAAGGCGACGAUCAGUAGCUGGUCUGAGAGGACGACCAGCCACACUGGGACUGAGACACGGCCCAG
rnacentral:rRNA from 1 species